GUGAGCGGAAUGCGGUGAAAGCUGCACGUUCCGUUCUUUGGGGAGGGAAUCACUGUGAGGUAAUUCCCUUACCCGAC
rnacentral:ncRNA from 1 species